rnacentral:rRNA from 1 species
AACGAACGCUGGCGGCAUGCCUAACACAUGCAAGUCGAACGAGACCUUCGGGUCUAGUGGCGCACGGGUGCGUAACGCGUGGGAACCUGCCCUUAGGUUCGGAAUAACUCCCCGAAAGGGGUGCUAAUACCGGAUAAUGUCUUCGGACCAAAGAUUUAUCGCCUUUGGAUGGGCCCGCGUUGGAUUAGCUAGUUGGUAGGGUAAAAGCCUACCAAGGCGACGAUCCAUAGCUGGUCUGAGAGGAUGAUCAGCCACACUGGGACUGAGACACGGCCCAGACUCCUACGGGAGGCAGCAGUGGGGAAUAUUGGACAAUGGGCGAAAGCCUGAUCCAGCAAUGCCGCGUGAGUGAUGAAGGCCUUAGGGUUGUAAAGCUCUUUUACCCGGGAUGAUAAUGACAGUAGCGGGAGAAUAAGCGCCGGCUAACUCCGUG